AUAAUGAAAUUAAUUAUUGUAUAGUUAGUGAGGCCUGCCCGCUGAUACUUUUUAAUCUUAGUAAUGAAGUAUUGAAGGGCCGCGGUAACUCUGACCGUGCUAAGGUAGCAUAAUCAAUCGUCACUUAAUUGGUGACUAGAAUGAAAGGCUAAACGAGCAUUCCCCUGUCUUAAAUUUAAACUUAGUGAAAUUAAAUUACCCGUUAAGAUUCGGGUAUUACUUGAUUAGACGAGAAGACCCCGUUGAGCUUUAUCUAAACCUUUUCUUUAGGUGGUUUUCCUUAAUAAGAAAAUAAUUUAUUACAAAAAGGCAACAGAUUUGGUUGGGGCGACCGCCCAAAUAAGAGAAACUUGGGUAAACAAAGGUUAAGUUUUUAAUAAAUAAAGCUUUAUUAACAGGCAAACAUGCUAGUUAAAAAGGAUUAUUUCUUUGUUAUAGUGACCCGCUGCUAAUUAGUAGCGAAUUUGAAUAAAAGUUACCACGGGGAUAACAGGGUUAUCUAAUCUUAGAGUUCUUAUCGAAGAUUAGGUUUGCCACCUCGAUGUUGAAUAGCAGUAUCCUAGAGGUGCAGAAGCUUCUAAGGGUUGGUCUGUUCGACCAUUAAAACCUUACA
rnacentral:rRNA from 1 species